AGCAGGUAGAUCAUAGAUGUCAGGCCCUGGCCAAAGACUUUGGCCUUGGCUUCCUGAAUCUGGUCCUGACACGCUCCCUAGACUUAGUGCUUCCCAUAACCCAUUUUGACUUGUCGUCUUGAAUCGUGACCAGGUAUUUCUACCUACCCAUCACACCUACAUAUACUUGGGUAUGAAGACAAGGAACGAAGUGAAUUGUCUCCGUUGGGGAAAUGCCUGCUGAUACCUAGUACCUCCUACUAAUACUAGGCUGUCAACAAUUAUCCAAGAACUCCCAGAUCUAGGUCAUAGUUGAUUGGUGCUUCCAACAGAAGAAGCAAAUUGGUGGCCCGGCACAAUUGUUGAAAUCGAUGAGGCGAAGUUUGGGAGAAGAAAAUACAAUGUAGGUCGCCUCAUCGAAGGCCAGUGGGUGUUCGGUGGUAUCUGCAGGCAGACCCGGGAGUUUUUCGUUGUUCCCGUACCCGACAGGACGAGUGGGACUCUGCUUGCAGUUAUCAAAGAAUACAUUGUGCCGGAUACCACUAUUAUUUCUGACUGUUGGAGGGCUUAUGACUGCCUGGGAGAUGAAGGUUAUGUCCACUUGACAGUCAACCACUCUAUGAACUUUGUGGACCCAGAAACCGGUGCCCAUACUAAUACAAUCGAGAGGAGGUGGAGGGAACUCCGGCAGUCGACUCCAAGAUACGGGAGGAGAAUGUACAACUUCGUCGGGUACUUGGCUGUUGCCUAUUUCAAGCUGCAUUUUGAGGAACCCAACACCUGCCUCCACGCAUUCUUAAAGGCAGCUGCUGCUUUGUACCCUCCACCCCUUUAAGAGAUGAACUGUCAGUACAAGAUGGAAUAAUUCUUUGUGGUGAACAUGUAGUCAUUCCGACAUCAAUGAGGUAUGAAAUGAAACUGAAGGUACAUGCUGGUCAUUCUGGUAUAUACGUACUCUUGUCUACACCGAGCUCGAGAACUGAUAUAUUGGCCAGGAAUUUCAGCAGAGAUUAGACAAUAUGUGGAAUCGUGUGAUGUGUGCCUGUUACUCCUUUAACAGCCUGAAGAGCCACAACAUCUCCAUGAAGUACCUUCUCGCCCUUGGCAAAAAGUAGGAUCUGAUAUGUUUACUAUUGAAGGAAGAAACUACCUAGUCACAGUUGAUUACUACUGUCAGUUCUUUGAAGUUUAUUAUCUGCCAGAAACUACAUCUGAUGCUGUGAUCACCAAAUUAAAGCAUCAUUUCGCUCGUCAUGGCAUUCCUGAUACAUUGAUUUCAGAUAAUGGUCCACAAUAUUCUUCUCAUGUGUUUGAUAAGUUUGCUCGAAAGUGGGGAUUUUUUCAUGAGCCUAUAAGUCCAGGGAACAGCAAAGCUAAUGGUGCAGCUGAAGCAGCAGUUAAAAUUGCAAAAAACCUAAUGAAAAAGUGUAAGAAAGCCUAAGAAGAUCCAUACUUGGGACAUAGAAACUAGCCCUGUACAACGCUUAAUGGGUAGACGUACGAAAACAUUGAUUCCUACAGUUAGCAAUCACCUCACGCCAUCUAAUGUUUCCAAUGAUAAAGAAAGGAGAAAGCUGAUUGACAAAAGAUUUGCUGUUGCUGAUCAUUACUCAAACAGAAAACAGUUGAAACCCUUGUGUAUUGGAGACACUGUUAGAGUUCAACCCAUUGACAAUAAAACAGAAGAGGGGAACACAAGCAACUGUCAGUGAAAAACUUAAUGGUCAUAGUUAUGUAGUAUGUACUGAUGAUGGAGGAACAUACUUGUAGAAAUAGACAAUUUUUAAGAAAAGCAGUAAAAUCUAGAGACAAAGUCUCCAGAAACUCCUUAUUUUAGUUCUGUGGCUCCUGUUCCUAUUGAUAUUGAUGACAAUGCUAGUAAUAAAAAUAGUAAAGAUGUUUAUUCUCCAUGUAGAACUCCAGAUGUGUCAAAGAGUAAUAACACUGAGUCGGAUAUUAUAAAAACUAGGUCUGGUAGAACAAUUAAAGUUCCUUAUUUUGAAUGAUGCGUUCUGUUUAUCUUGGUGAGAAGGUCUCAUUUUGAUUUCUCAUCUCAUUUAUGUUUUGUUAUGCCAUUUCCUGUAUUGUGUGUACUGACACUAGUGAUGUUGCAUGUACCCUGAUAUGCUAGUUGUGUACUUAUAGUUCUGUCUUAUUGUUUGAUCUCUCUUACUAAAGAAGGGGGAUGUUAAGUGAACCUUGUAAAAGUAAGAUAUCUAUGAAACAUGUAAAGUAUGAUAUCUAUGAAUCAUUGUACAAAAUUAGUGUCAGUCAGUUAUCUUUUGUAUAUCUUUAGACUCUCUCUGCACUGUGUAUAUAGAAUAAAGUCUCGUAUCAAGAUGUGACUUUUCAA